GGUAGUAGGCUCAGUGGUUAAGGCUUUGAGUUACGGAACAGAAGAUGGUGGGUUCAAGUCCCAGCACUGCCA